rnacentral:tRNA from 1 species
GGAUUGUGGCUCAGCGGUAGAGCACUCACCUGGCACAAGAGAGGCCCUGGGUUCGAUUCUCAGCACCA